AGUUACAAAGGAACGAGGUAGAUGAAGAGGUCUGGAAAGGCCCGCCAUAGGAGGUAACAGCCCUGUAGUCAAAACUUCGUUCUCUCCUGAGUGGAUCCUGA
rnacentral:rRNA from 1 species